GGUCUCCGUAGGUGAACCUGCGGAGGGAUCAUUACACAAUAAAAUAUGAAGGCUGUACGCGGCUGUGCUCUCGGCGGGCCAGUUUUGCGGAAGCUGAAUUAUUUAUUACCCUUGUCUUUUGCGCACUUGUUGUUUCCUGGGCGGGUUCGCCCGCCACCAGGACCACAUCAUAAACCUUUUUUAUGCAGUUGCAAUCAGCGUCAGUAUAACAAAUGUAAAUCAUUUACAACUUUCAACAACGGAUCUCUUGGUUCUGGCAUCGAUGAAGAACGCAGCGAAAUGCGAUACGUAGUGUGAAUUGCAGAAUUCAGUGAAUCAUCGAAUCUUUGAACGCACAUUGCGCCCUUUGGUAUUCCAAAGGGCAUGCCUGUUCGAGCGUCAUUUGUACCCUCAAGCUUUGCUUGGUGUUGGGCGUUUUUUGUCUUUGGUUGCCAAAGACUCGCCUUAAAAGGAUUGGCAGCCGGCCUACUGGUUUCGCAGCGCAGCACAUUUUUGCGCUUGCAAUCAGCAAAAGAGGACGGCAAUCCAUCAAGACUCCUUCUCACGUUUGACCUCGGAUCAGGUAGGGAUACCCGCUGAACUUAAGCAU
rnacentral:rRNA from 1 species